rnacentral:rRNA from 1 species
UGGGGAAUCUUGCACAAUGGGGGCAACCCUGAUGCAGCGACGCCGCGUGAGCGAUGAAGCCCUUCGGGGCGUAAAGCUCUUUCGACCGGAACGAUAAUGACGGUACCGGGAGAAGAAGCUGCGGCUAACUACGUGCCAGCAGCCGCGGUAAUACGUAGGCAGCAAGCGUUGUUCGGAGUUACUGGGCGUAAAGAGUGCGUAGGCGGUGUUCUAAGUUCGGUGUGAAAUCUCCCGGCUUAACUGGGAGGGUGCGCCGAAGACUGGGAAGCUGGAGUGUGGGAAAGGCAGGCGGAAUUCCUGGUGUUGCGGUGAAGUGCGUAGAUAUCAGGAGGAACACCGGCGGUGUAGACGGCUUGCUAGACCAUAACUGACGCUGAGGCACGAAAGCGUGGGUAGCAAACA